GUGCUUACCAUGCAAGUCGAGCGGUAAGGCCCUUCGGGGUACACGAGCGGCGAACGGGUGAGUAACACGUGGGUGAUCUGCCUCGCACUUCGGGAUAAGCCUGGGAAACUGGGUCUAAUACCGGAUAUGACCAUGGAAUGCAUGUUUUGUGGUGGAAAGAUUUAUCGGUGCGAGAUGGGCCCGCGGCCUAUCAGCUUGUUGGUGAGGUAACGGCUCACCAAGGCGACGACGGGUAGCCGACCUGAGAGGGUGACCGGCCACACUGGGACUGAGACACGGCCCAGACUCCUACGGGAGGCAGCAGUGGGGAAUAUUGCACAAUGGGCGAAAGCCUGAUGCAGCGACGCCGCGUGGAGGAUGACGGCCUUCGGGUUGUAAACUCCUUUCGACAGGGACGAAGCGAAAGUGACGGUACCUGUAGAAGAAGCACCGGCCAACUACGUGCCAGCAGCCGCGGUAAUACGUAGGGUGCGAGCGUUGUCCGGAAUUACUGGGCGUAAAGAGCUUGUAGGCGGUCUGUCGCGUCUUCUGUGAAAACUUGGGGCUCAACCUUAAGCUUGCAGGCGAUACGGGCAGACUAGAGUACUUCAGGGGAGACUGGAAUUCCUGGUGUAGCGGUGAAAUGCGCAGAUAUCAGGAGGAACACCGGUGGCGAAGGCGGGUCUCUGGGAAGUAACUGACGCUGAGAAGCGAAAGCAUGGGUAGCAAACAGGAUUAGAUACCCUGGUAGUCCAUGCCGUAAACGGUGGGUACUAGGUGUGGGUUUCCUUCCACGGGAUCCGUGCCGUAGCUAACGCAUUAAGUACCCCGCCUGGGGAGUACGGCCGCAAGGCU
rnacentral:rRNA from 1 species